GGCCCUAUGGUCAAGCGGUUAAGACACCGCCCUUUCACGGCGGUAACCCGGGUU
rnacentral:tRNA from 1 species